rnacentral:rRNA from 1 species
GAUGAACGCUGGCGGCGUGCCUAACACAUGCAAGUCGAACGGAGUCCAGCCUUUAAGACCUUCGGGUCAAAGAGGGGAAGACUGAGUGGCGGACGGGUGAGUAACACGUGGGCAACCUGGCUCAUAGAGGGGGAUAACAGAGAGAAAUUUCUGCUAAUACCGCAUAAGCACACCCUGCCGCAUGGCAGAGGGUGAAAAGAGAAUCGCUAUGAGCUGGACCCGCGUCUGAUUAGCCAGUUGGCAGGGUAAGAGCCUACCAAAGCGACGAUCAGUAGCCGAUCUGAGAGGAUGAACGGCCACAUUGGGACUGAGACACGGCCCAAACUCCUACGGGAGGCAGCAGUGGGGGAUAUUGCACAAUGGGGGGAACCCUGAUGCAGCGACGCCGCGUGAGUGAAGAAGUAUUUCGGUAUGUAAAGCUCUAUCAGCAGGGAAGAUAAUGACAGUACCUGAAUAAGAAGCCCCGGCUAACUACGUG